CGAAGAAGUGACAAACAGCUUUGCAAGUAUGUGGAAGGUGUGAGCCCGUGCGUUUGAGGAGUGGCCUGAGCUCUGGUGGCGUUGCAUUGAAUUGAAGGAAGCUGCCUUUAACCUACCUUAAGUGGGAAGAAAGAAGAAUGAAAAGAAUAUGCCAGAUGCAAAUGGGAGGCAGCAUCACAAUUUAACAUAGAUUUUCACAGCAAGACAGCAAGCUAUGGGUAAGUCCAGGAUUUUAAAACGGAUGUGGAGUAGAAGAGACAUGAGAUGCUAUACCUAGACUGCUACCAUCCGUCCAGCGUUCAUCCUCAUCGAAGUGAGCAUCUCCUCCGAGACCUGUCCCAGGCGCAAAGGCAUGAGCCAGCGUGUUUCCUGGCCCAUCAAAUGGG
rnacentral:lncRNA from 1 species